GAUGAACGCUGGCGGCGUGCCUAAUACAUGCAAGUCGAGCGAACUGAUUAGAAGCUUGCUUCUAUGACGUUAGCGGCGGACGGGUGAGUAACACGUGGGCAACCUGCCUGUAAGACUGGGAAAACUUCGGGAAACCGAAGCUAAAACCGGAUAGGAUGCUCUCCUUCAGGGGAGGUGAUUGAAAGAUGGUUUCGGCUAUUACUUACAGAUGGGCCCGCGGUGCAUUAGCUAGUUGGGGAGGUAACGGCUCACCAAGGCAACGAUGCAUAGCCGACCUGAGAGGGUGAUCGGCCACACUGGGACUGAGACACGGCCCAGACUCCUACGGGAGGCAGCAGUAGGGAAUCUUCCGCAAUGGACGAAAGUCUGACGGAGCAACGCCGCGUGAGUGAUGAAGGCUUUCGGGUCGUAAAACUCUGUUGUUAGCGAAGAACAAGUACGAGAGUAACUGCUCGUACCUUGACGGUACCUAACCAGAAAGCCACGGCUAACUACGUGCCAGCAGCCGCGGUAAGAC
rnacentral:rRNA from 1 species